UACCACUGCAUUUACCUUUCCCCCGCUUCUAGUAUAUAACGCCCCACACCGCAUAGACCUAUAGUCAGUUAUAUUUGUGCUCCAAUCCCUCCACUAUCACACAACUCCAGUGUGCUAACACUACCCCUUCAUCUAACUUAUUUAUUUCAUCUCUCAUCACUCCUCGUUUAUUUAUUUAUUUGACUUAAGUCAACCUACAAACAACCAUGUCUACCUACAAGCUGUUUCUUCUGAUCGCCAUCUGCAUUGCUGCUCUCCUCAGCAUGGUUUCAGCUCAAGGACUUGACUACCUUGGUGGCUACUUCUCACAAGCCCUACAGAGAGACCAAAGAGCAAACAGAGGACCCGUCCUGUUCCCCACCAACCCCCCCGGCACAGAGACCAGCGGAGUCCGCGUGGGCGCUUCUGGCUACGGAUUUGUGCCACCAGGUGGUGCCACCGGUCAGUUCUAUUAGACACAACUCUCGCACACACAUUACAAAGUUCAAAGCACUUUUCUUCUUCCUAUACCGCACACCAACUCUAGCACAAUCUGUCCAAUAGUAGGAGUUCUACCAGGAGCUGGUCCCAACAUCGGACAUGGUAUCAACUAUUGGUAGAAUUUCUAGAUCAUUUCUUACCUCAGACUACCUCUGCGCUGACUCAUCGAUUCUUCAAUGAAUUAUCGAAUGAAACACAUCCAUUGUAAAUGGGAAUCACAAUUCGUAAGCAGAAGAGAACCUUCCUCUUCCAAGUCCACCACUCCUACAACUAUUCAACACAUUAGAAUAGAAAAAACAUACUAGAUUAUUUCGUUACCAAAACAUUUGUCAAAUAUUUUAAUCUUUAAUCUGGGCAGAGAUAUUCAUAAAUCAUUUCACAUUUUAUCGGAAUAUCCCGGUUAGUUGGUAUAUUCCAUCAAAUGAGUUAUGUAAUCGAAUACAAUUCAGCUAUUCCUGAAAAGGAACAUUUCUACGCUUGAAAUGUCCUCCAAAAAACUUGAUAUACAAUAAAGUCUGUCAUAUUGAAAAAUCCCUCCAACAUAUAAUGUGAAGAAAAAUUGCUUGAACUAAGUCCCGGAAACAAUGUUUUAUAAUGAAGUCUAAACAUAACAUAUGGAUCGUAACAAUUCAAAUAAUACAGAAUGCUAUCAAAGCCCAAAUCUAGUCUCUAAAAAAUCAGUGCAAUCAACUCUAACUCCAUUAUUCGAAGUGUAAAACUAGUCAUAUUUACACAAAAGAAUAAACUGCUUGACAGGGUAGCCUACCUCGAACCUGUAAUGUUCGAUGAACAGUAAGAAACUGAAACACCUACACUCUCUCCUCUGAGGUUAUGUUUAGACAACUUAGAAAUUGAUAUUUAUGUUUGUAUGCUACUCAAUGUUCAAUCUAUCAAUGAAGUUCAAGUGUGUAUGUGUUCAUGAAGCUGUCUCAGAUUUGUAUGAAUGAUGUGUGAUGAGUGAUGAACGUGAAAUCAUAAUAUUAUUUAUUUAAAUCGUAUAGUAAUAGGUUUAUCUAAUUUAUUGAAAUACCGUGCAAUAAAUUAAAACUCGUAAUAAAGUUUCACUACCACUCAAAAAUUUAUUGGAACUCAUAUCUUGAAAAUUAUUCAAAAUUUGAAAAUGACUGUAACUGUCGAGAUUUUAGCUGAAUUUCAUUUAUAAUGGAAAAUUAUUCUUAAAUGGUGAUUUCCAAUCAUUUUCAUUUAACUUAUUAUUCUGUCUCUUGGAAGACGAUUUCAAUAGAUUUAAGAAUUAUUGUAAAUACGAAUUUUAUGUUUGUAAGGAUCUCAGUACAUGCGUACUCAACUUGACUGAGAAUUAUUUCAAUCCGUGAGUUGAAUGUAAAUAAAAAAUAAAGUGAUCGAUCAUUAAAAA